UACAGAGGUCCCAAGCGUUGUUCGGAUUCAUUGGGCGUAAAGGGUGCGUAGGCGGCGCGGUAAGUCGGGUGUGAAAUCUCGGAGCUUAACUCCGAAACUGCAUUCGAUACUGCCGUGCUUGAGGACUGGAGAGGAGACUGGAAUUUACGGUGUAGCAGUGAAAUGCGUAGAUAUCGUAAGGAAGACCAGUGGCGAAGGCGAAUCUCUGGACAGUUACUGACACUGAGGCACGAAGGCCAGGGGAGCAAACGGG
rnacentral:rRNA from 1 species